GGAAAACUGACUCCAUGUCUGGUCUUCACAGUUCAAGAAGAGUAUUGAUAAAUUGGAGAGGGUUCAGAGAAGAGCCACGAGAAUGAUCAGAGGACUGGAA